ensembl:lncRNA
AUGGCUUUUGUACGUGGAGAUGGGGCUUGUAAAUCACCUGGGCUGAAGAAUCAGACGUCUGGAGGAGACAGACAGGGGUUAAUUGAAAUAUGCACCCACAAUAUUUGUGGCACGAAGUACAAAGUCAUCAUUCAAAUGUUAGAACGGCUGCAGGAGGAAAGGGGAGAUUUAACCGCCGUUUUUGCUGUGCAAUCCGAUCUGUUGAACAUGGAGGGGAGGAAAGAUAAAAGGAAACAGAAGCGCUGUUGGAGACUGUCUACAGGAAGAGCCUGAUUAGAGGUGAGCCUGCAGCAGGCACAUUGGCUGAGGAACCAGCCAAUCACAAGGGCAGCCAGGGAGGGCAAAGCUGCUCUGCCUUUGGCCAACCGUUUCUCUGUGUGUCACUUCACUCUUGUUGAACACAAUGUAUCCGGUAUCAAUCUGGUAUACUUAAUUAGAAUAUGAAUUUACCUCAUGUAAUUCAUGUCAUAUGUAACAUGUUCUUUGAGCAUUUCAGGUCACGUUCUCUCAGCGCAUGUAUUAUUCAUGGAUAUAAUGGCUCACUGGUGUUUCUUGUAAUAUGCAUGCUCAUGAACAUUAAUAAAGCAAGCACACAUGUUUGGGAAUGUACUUUA